GGAUCCAGACUUUGAUUAUGGCUCAGGAUUAACGCUGGCGGCGCACAUAAGACAUGCAAGUCGAACGGAAGUCGUUAUAACUCAGAACAAAGAUUUAUCUGAGGGACGAGAUAUAACAAUGGCUUUAGUGGCGGACUGGUGAGUAACACGUAAGAAACCUGCCUAUUAGAGGGGAAUAACAACGAGAAAUCGUUGCUAAUACCGCAUAAGCUAGUAGUACCGCAUGGUACAGCUAGAAAAGGAGAAAUCCGCUAAUAGAUGGUCUUGCGUCCGAUUAGCUAGUUGGUGGGGUAACGGCCUACCAAGGCAACGAUCGGUAGCCGAGCUGAGAGGCUCAACGGCCACAUUGGGACUGAGAUACGGCCCAGACUCCUACGGGAGGCAGCAGUCGGGAAUAUUGCGCAAUGGAGGAAACUCUGACGCAGUGACGCCGCGUAUAGGAAGAAGGUUUUCGGAUUGUAAACUAUUUUAGACAGGGAAGAAAUUGACAGUACCUGUAGAAUAAGCUCCGGCUAACUACGUGCCAGCAGCCGCGGUAAUACGUAGGGAGCAAGCGUUAUCCGGAUUUAUUGGGUGUAAAGGGUGCGUAGACGGGAGAACAAGUUAGUUGUGAAAGCCCUCGGCUUAACUGAGGAACUGCAACUAAAACUAUUUUUCUUGAGUGCAGGAGAGGAAAGCGGAAUUCCUAGUGUAGCGGUGAAAUGCGUAGAUAUUAGGAGGAACACCAGUGGCGAARGCGGCUUUCUGGGACUGUAACUGACGUUGAGGCACGAAAGUGUGGGGAGCAAACAGGAUUAGAUACCCUGGUAGUCCACACCGUAAACGAUGGAUACUAGGUGUAGGAGAUGAUU
rnacentral:rRNA from 1 species